ACACAAGAGAGGAGGUGGUCCAAAGUUGUAUAGCAACCGGACUCGUGAGGUGGCUGUCCGCUAGGACCGCCCUCGGUGACGCCUAGUCGUAAACCCAGGCAGCCACCCGACCCCUGGACUCUGAGCGCUGGUCCCGCUCAGCCCGUUAACGCGGGAGUCGUCCAGGGGUUGUCCCAU
rnacentral:sRNA from 1 species